rnacentral:siRNA from 1 species
UGAGGUCCAAAGUGGUGAGCUUG